UGGGUCCAGACUUUGAUUAUGGCUCAAGACGAACGCUGGCGGCGUGCUUAACACAUGCAAGUCGGACGAGACGAUUGAAAGCUUGCUUUUGAAAGUCGAGUGGCAAACGGGUGAGUAACGCGUAGACAACCUGCCGUAAAGAUGGGGACAACAGUCCGAAAGGACUGCUAAUACCGAAUGUUGUGGAACUUCCGCAUGGGAGCUCUACUAAAGAUGGCCUCUACUUGUAAGCUAUCGCUUUACGAUGGGUCUGCGUCUGAUUAGCUAGUUGGUGGGGUAACGGCCUACCAAGGCGACGAUCAGUAGCCGGUCUGAGAGGAUGAACGGCCACAUUGGAACUGAGACACGGUCCAGACUCCUACGGGAGGCAGCAGUGGGGAAUCUUCCGCAAUGGGCGCAAGCCUGACGGAGCGACGCCGCGUGAGUGAAGAAGGGUUUCGACUCGUAAAGCUCCGUUGUCGGGGACGAAUGUGGAGGUUGUGAAUAACAGCUUCCAAUGACGGUACCUGACGAGGAAGCCACGGCUAACUACGUGCCAGCAGCCGCGGUAAUACGUAGGUGGCGAGCGUUGUCCGGAAUUAUUGGGCGUAAAGGGAGCGCAGGCGGGAGGUCAAGUCUAUCUUAAAAGUGCGGGGCUCAACCCCGUGAGGGGAUGGAAACUGGUCUUCUUGAGUGCAGGAGAGGAAAGCGGAAUUCCUAGUGUAGCGGUGAAAUGCGUAGAUAUUAGGAGGAACACCAGUGGCGAAGGCGGCUUUCUGGACUGUAACUGACGCUGAGGCUCGAAAGCGUGGGGAGCGAACAGGAUUAGAUACCCUGGUAGUCCACGCCGUAAACGAUGAAUGCUAGGUGUAGGAGGUAUCGACCCCUCCUGUGCCGGAGUUAACGCAAUAAGCAUUCCGCUCGGGGAGUACGGCCGCAAGGCUGCAACUCAAAUGAAUUGACGGA
rnacentral:rRNA from 2 species